AGGGGUCGGGGUCAGCCUGAAGAGAUAGGGGGUGAUCCUCAUAGUUUAGGGGACAAACUGACUAGGUACAUCCUGAUGGUAUCAAAGCAUAGCCUGGAGGUGUAUCUCUGCGUCCAAAGGGGAUAAUUCUCUCAAGGAUCUUUCUUAUCAUUAGCCUUUGAAGUCCAGGCCAACCCUUUCUCUAGCCUUAACAAGAACAAAAGGAAGCAGAGGAAUUUUCCUGUUUAUAGUUUGGCCUGAAAUGCUUCUAUAAUUUGGGGGUAUGAGGUAAACCUAGAGGCCCACAUCAGUAGGAUUUGAACUCCGGUCCUCUUAGUCCUAGCCACCACAUCAUUUUGGAAGAAGGUGAAAAGGAGGGCCCAAAGGCAACAGGAAAUCAAUCAAUCAAUCCCUACCCUCUGUGACUUCUGAUUCUCCCACUCCUACCUUCUUCCUGUCCAGGCUAUUUUCUUGAUUAGCUGUUUCAAGUUUGUCAGUAUUUAUGACAUUUAUUCAAUUCUUUAUCUCGGCUCCUUAAACAGGGCUCUUAUAGUCUUCUGCAACACCACUGAGAAAAGAAUAAUUAUUUUCUUUUCAAAUGCCCUCUCUUAAAAAAACAAUGGAUCUAAGGUCAUGAAGCUAUCUCAGACUCUUACUGUGUGACCCUGAACAAACCAUUUAAUCUAUCUCAGCCUCCUCAACUGUAAAAUGGGUAUAACAGUACCUAUUUCACAAGGUUGUUGUGGAGCUCAAAUGAGAUAUUUGUAAAGCAUUUAGAAAUUUGUACUCUUAUUCAACAUAAGCUAUUGCCUUUAAGAGUCUCUGGGAACAGUGACUUAGGGCCCCCCUUUCUCUCCUAGUAAGCCUCCCUGAUAUCUCUUAUCCUAACUUAAUGUAAGAAAACUUCUCUUGUAUAUACAAAUCGACACAACUAUAAAAUGAGGAUAAUAACAGCACCUACCUCAAAAGGCUACUGGGAGGAUUAGAUGAGUUAAUUAUUUGUGAAACCCUAACCAUAGCACCUGGCACUUAGUAGGGGCUCUAUAAACACUUAUUUCCUCUCUCUACUCUUAUAUGCAACAAUUAAGCAUUUCAAAUUAGGGGGAAAAAAGGGUUCUGGCUAAGUGAAACCCAAUUAUUUCAUUUAGGGCUGGGGUUUGUAACCUAGGAUCUGAGAACUUGGGCUUCUUUUAUAUUUUGGUUACUGGAUUUCAAUAUAAUUGGUUUUUUAAAAUAUUUCAACAAAUGAAUUUCAAAAUAAUUUAUUUCCUUUUUAAUUCCACCUAUUUUAUCUUGUUGCAUUUGAAGAUGGUAUUCUGAGGAGUCCACAGGCUUCACCAAGCUACCAAAGAGGUCCAUUACAAACACACACACACACACACAGAGGCUAAGAACUAUUAUUCUCUAGCCAUUCAGAUCCUCAGAGAGGUCUCAUUUCUACUCUCUAGGGACAUAGUCGUCUCCCAUUUUGCUAAAUGGAAACUAACUGCAGAAGUCUUCUAAAGCUGGGACACAAGACGAUUCACACUUGCACCAGCACCACAUCUCCUGCAGUCACUGUGAUAAGGGCUAAAUUCAAGUCAGAACAAAUGAGUCACAAUCAGGUUGCUUCAAACAAUGGCAUCAUCUUUUAAUUUAGAACAGCAUUUGGAUCAGGGUAAAAUUUCCGCCCUGAUAACCAGUUCCUGGAGUCCUUCCAAGGCAUUGCAUGUAGUAUCAGCAUUCUACCACUAGAUGGAGACAGAACCCUUGGAUGCUUGGGGAGGCUCCCAUGAUGCACUGCGGUGCAGGCCCCAAGCCACCUUCGUGGGUGAAGGUGUUGGAUUCAGGGCCUAGUGUUCAGAAUCCUUUCUGAUAUGCAGUGCCAGGGCAGCUGAGGGCCCUUCCCUUCCAAAGCAUGGGCUAGGAGGGAGGCCAAAGCCAAAUUGGAAAAGAGGAUUUGGAUUCUUUUUUUUUCUCUUUUCCUUUUUUUUUUAGAUUAGAUUCCAUUUGGCAAAAGCACAAGAUGAAGUAAAAAUGAGGGUUAAAUGUCCUUAGUUAACUCACCCCAAUGAAUGUUAAUUAAGUCAGAGGCUGGGAAAUGUGUACUGCCGAUCUUGUUCAGCACCAGCUAUGACUUUUAAAGGUCCUUGGGAACAAAUGAAGAGCCUCCUUCCCCCCCAAAUUAAGCCUCCCUGAUACCUUCUUAUCCAGACUUGUUUUUAAGAAGACUUCUCUGGUGCAUAACAUAGACAGCAAAUCCCUGCCCUCCCAGGGAAGUACUUCACUCCACCGAACCAGGGAAAUACUGGUACCCACCCUGGGAGGAAAAUGGGCCAUUGUUCUCCGCACCCGAGGUAAAAGUGGGGGAUGGGGAAGCUGCCUGGUAGAAUCUGAAUAUUCGAAACAGCCUUGAAGGUGAGCCAACUACUGGAAAUAACACUUUGGGGCUCUGAAAAGCCCGUGCUAUUUUUCCACACUUACAGGCAAUUAUCUGAGAAAUUAUUAUUGGCAAAUGGCUAUCAAAACAUUUUUUAAGGGUGUACUCUUGUGAAUAUUAAAAUACAUGUGUAGACAUAUAUGUAUAUAUUAAAUACUCGUUUUAAAAAUUACAAUUUAACAAAGCCUUUGUUUUCUUUAAAUGUAGGAAAUGUAGUAUUCUGACUAAUAAGUUAUUAUGAAUAAUUAUAUUGAGAAGCAGGCAUUUAAUCAGGACAUUGCUUCGACAAGCCAAGAAAAACAAUUAUAUUCUUUAACAGACACACCAUUAAAAAAUAUGUGUUUAUGUGUAUACCUAGGCAUAUUUGGCUACAUAGAUAUCUAGAUAGAUAGAAAUAGUUAGAUAUAUCUCAGGAAUGAACAACUAAUGGAUUGUUACAUGGCUUCUCAAGGUUCCUGUUUGCCCACCCUUAAUUUAUAAUAUAUAUUAUACAUGGUUUAAAACUUUCCAGAGAAUUAGAAUAUAGUAAUAAUAAUAACAUUGAUAUAAUGCUUUCUAUGUGCCAGGCACUGUACUAACUGCUUUAAAAAUAUUUUCUCAUUUUAUCUUCACAGCAACCCUGGGAGGUAGGUGCCACUAUUCUUCCCAUUUUAUAGAUCAGGAAACUGAGGCAAACAAGGGUUAAGUAACUUGCCCAGCACUCUAUCCAACAUGCCACCUAGCUGCCCCCAAAAGAUACUCAACCCCAAAUCUAAUAUAAAAAUAAAUCAUCUUCUUUUGAUGAUUCAGAAGGUACUCCAGGGAAGGGGGGGAGGGGAACCACUAACUUUAGAACCUAAAGACCCAAGUUCAGUUAUCUCUUACAAGCUAUAUAUGUCACCCUGAACAAGUCACAACCUCUGAAUCUGUUUCCUCAAGGGGAAGAUGGAGAUGAUAAUAUACUACUUAUCACUACAGGUGAAAUAAUAUAUCUAAAGUUCUUUGUAUACUACAAAGUGAUAUUUAAAUGUCAUCUAUUUUACAAGAUAAAAAUCAUUACUGUAUUAGAGAGAUAAAGAACCAGUUAAUAAGCAGUUCUAGGAGGCAAAAUAACAAAUUAUCUAGAACUUAUUUUCUAUUGCCAAGCCUGUCUAUAUAAUAAAUAUGCAUAUAUGUGUGUAUAUAUGUACAUAGAUACAUUAUCUUUCAUUUCUCUAAUCCUUCCCACUUCUGUCCUCUUGCUACCUCACCUUUGUUAACAUCAAGACAUAUAAAAGCUAAAAGCUCAAUGGAUAGAGUCAAGAUUAGAGAUAGGAAGUCCUGGGUUCAAAUUUUACCUCAGACACUUCCUAGCUGUGUGACUUGGGCAAAUCACUUAAUCCCUAUUGCCUAGGCCUUACUGUUCUUCUGCCUUGGAACCAAUAUUUAGUAUAGCAUCUAAGUCAAAAGAGAGAGUUUUUUUUUAAAUUUCGUUUAAAGCAUUUAAAGCCUUGAAAUAAAGAUACAAGGGCCAUAACUAGGUCUUAAAAUAAAAAGUAUUUUCCAGUGGAUUGCUUAAAAGUAUGCUAGCAGGUGCAGCUAGAUGGCUCUGUAAAUAGCAAGCCAGGCCUAGAGACAGGAGGCACCAGGUUCAAAUCUUGCCCCAGAUAUUUUCUAUUUGUAGGACCCAGGACAAAUCACUUAACCUGCAUGGCCUAACCCUUACCUCUCUUCUGCCUUGAAACCAGUAUUUAGUAUAGAAUCUAAGACAGGAGGUAAGGAUUUUUUUUUAAGUAUGCUAGGGUUUUUAAGUAUUUAUGGAAAACCUAGUAUAAUUGUUAUGCCUAUUAUUACUAACAGAUAGAUGCUUUCUUAAGAAUUUUAGAGGCAAUUUACAUAAGACCACAAGAAAAGGUUAAGGCCAGCCAAACUUAAAUUUCCAAAACAGUAUAAUAUAAUGAUUUAUAGAAAUCUCUUUUUAAGACCAACUGAAUGCCCCUAUUAGUAUGCUAUGAACAUGAUUUUCCCUGUCCUUUUUCCUAACAAAAGUUUUUAACCAAGACAAACUCCCUGUCAGAUGGAUUAUUAGCAAAAAGAAGUAAACAUUUUUAUAACUGAUGGAAUUUUAGAAACCUUCAAUAAGAUCUUAAGGAAACAAAUAUUCUCUGGGUAACUAACUGGCUUGUUGAGCAUUAUGGUAUUUUUUCCUUCUAUGCCAAUUUUCUAGUCACAGGAAAAAAAUUAAUCUUAUGGCUUUAGAAUUAUGCCUGACUUAGAGGCCAACAUGGCAGAUUAAGGGUAGUAUCCAGCUAACCUCUCCCAACAUUCCCCUCUAAAGAACUUGAACACCAAAUGACAUUUUAAAAAAAAAAUUGGAGGAGCAAAACCAACCAAAGGUCAGGGUGAAACAUUUUUCCAGCCUAAGAAAAUUACGAGGUCAGAAGGAAAAGUCCAUGGCAGAGGACAGAAGCCUGUUCAGAGAAAUGAAUGGCUGCAGCAACAGCACCCUUGGAUAAAUCAGGAUGAGAUUACAGAGGUUCCUUUGCUGGCACUGGGUAUAGCGGGUGCUGACUGGCAACUCUACUGCCCAAAUGCAGUUCUGGAUCACAGAUCCAGGGCACAGAGGAGCGCUUCUGGUCAGUCACAAGGGAGCAGGGGUCCUGGUUACGGUUCCAGGGCCAAGAAAAAUGCAAGCAUUCUUGGCUGCAGGGGACCAGGGUUUCUUCUGGGAUAAAGAACAGGAACAGGCCAAGAGAGCAGUGACCAUACCUCUCCCAAGAGCAUAUCACCUUAGAACCACUGAAAACCUGUACAUUCCCCAGAACUAGCUCUGAAAAGAGCAACACAAAACAGCUUAAGGCUUACGACAAUGGCUCCCUACCCCAAGGUUAGCAGAGCUCAACUUUAACAUAAAGUUCAAAGUUAAGAAAUAGGCUGGGAAAGAAGCAAACAAUAAAAAUAGAACUUGAUCCUAAAAAAGCAACUAUGGAGGCAAGGAAGCCCAAGAUAAACAAACUUAGAAGAUAGCAUUGUGAAAACAGCUACCAAAAAAGCCUCAAAGAAAAUUAUAACUGAAGCCAAUCCCAACAAGAAUUCCCAGAAUUGCUAAAGAGAUAAAUGGUGGAGGAAAAAUUGAACAAAGAAAUGACAGUGAUGCAAGAAAAUUAUGAAAAAAGGAUUAACAGUUUGUCAAAUGCGACCCAAAAAAAAACUGAAGAAAAUAGCACUGAAAAAACAGAUGUGGCCAAAUGGUAUUAUAAUUAAAAUUAUUUUGAGAGACCGAUUUUGGAUAAAAAUAUCAAUUUAUUGAUUAGGUCAGCAUCAUAACCAAUUAAAUGACAGAUCAAUGGCCCUCUUGACAACUAGAGACCUCAAAGGCCCUGGAUCUGAUACCGAUCUGAUACCGAUAUAUACUUUGAGAAGCUCAUUAUUCAGCUCUUCCCUUGAACAUACCAAGAUGUCUCCAAUUGGUAAACAGGAGGUGGUCCAUCAAAGGUGGUCCCUUCACCACACCAACAGAUAGGUAAUGGUUUGUAACAUAUACAGGAAAAAAAAUCAUUGUAGAGGGUAGCUUGGUGGCUCAGUAGAGAGAGAGGAGAGGGUAGCUUAGUGGCUCAGUAAUGGUUUGUAACAUAUACAGGAAAAAAAUCAUUGUAGAGGGUAGCUUGGUGGCUCAGUAGAGAAAGAGUCAAGUCUAGAGAUGGGAGGUCCUGGGUUCAAAUCUGACCUCAGAAACAUCCUAACUGUAGGACCCUCGGCAAGUCAUUUAUUGCUUAGCCCUUGCUGCUCUUCUGCCUUAGAACCAAUACAAUGAUUCGAAGAUGAAGGUAUGGGUUUAAAAAAAAUGAUGUGAUGAGGGAGAUGGUUUCAGAAGUAUAUGGCAAGACUUAUAUGAACUAAUGCGAAGUGACAUUAGAAGAAACAGGAAAUCACUAUACACAAUAACAGCAAUAUUGAAAAGCUCCUCAACUGUAAAAGACUUGGCUACUCUGAUCAAUAUAAUGAUCCAAGACAAUUCCAAAGGAUUUAUAAUGAAAGAAGCUAUCUACCUCCAGAGAGAGAACUGCUCAACUCUGAAUGCAAAAAAAGGUAUAAAUUUCUCAUUUGCUUAAUUUUUCUUGAUUAAAAAAAAUAUAUUGCCAGUAUAGAAAUGUGUUUUGCAUGAUCUCACAUGUAUAAAUACUAUCAUAUUCCUUUCCGUCUCAGUGAGUAGGAGAGAAGACAGGAAAGAAUUUGGAACUCAAAAUUUAAAAAGAAAAGAGUGUUUAAAAUAAAUAUUUUUAAAGAAUUAUAUCUGAUUUUUUUAACCAAAAAUUACCUCCUUAUUCACCAAAUAUGGCUUCAGAUGAUUUUUUUAUUAUUUCCAAAAGUUAAAUCCAAUGUCAAAGAAAGAUUUGGCAAAGUUGAAAAUUCUUUUAAGUGUUUAAAAAGAAUUUGCCAUUGAUUCUAAAAAUAAUUCCAAAAACAAUUUGGAUUUAUACAAUAAAAAUCAAUAAAUUAUUCAUAUCCUUUAACCCAGAGAUCCCACUAUGAUGCAUAUAUCUCCAAAGAGGUGAAAGAAAGGUCCCAUGUAAAACAAAAUAUUCUUAACUAUUCUUUGUGGUAGCAAAAAUUGCAAGGAAAAUGAGUACCCACUGAUUGAAGAACAAAGAAAUUUUAGUCUGUAAAUGUAAUAGAAUAUGAUCAUGCCAUAAAAUGACAAAGGAAGCAUUUUAAAAAUUAGGUAUAUGGGGGGCAGCUGGGUAGUUCAGUGGAUUGAGAGCCAGGCCUAGAGAUAAGAGUUCUUGGGUUCAAAUGUGACCUCAGAAAAUUCCUAGCAGUGUGACCCUGGGAAAGUCACUUCAUCCCCAUUGCCUAGCCCAUACUGCUCUUUUGUCUUGGAACCAGUACACAGUAUCUAUUCUAAGAAAAGGGUUUAGGAAAGACAAAAACAAAAGGCAUUAUUUAAAUAUGAACUCUUAACAUUUUAACAAUAUUAUUUAUUAGGAUAAUCGCAGAACUUUUAGAGUUGAAAGGGACCUCAGUGGCUAUAUCUAAUAUAACUUAUACCUGAAAAAGAAUCUCUAUUACCACAUACCAAGCAAGUGGUCAUUCAGACUGCUAGAAUCCUCUAGGGAGGGGAAAUUCACCACUUCCGGAAACAGUUCAGACUACUUAUGACUAUCUCUAAUUAUUAGGAAAUUUUUCCUUAUGUCAAGCCUAAAUUUUCAUCUUUGUGACUUACAACAUUGCUCCUAGUUCUGCCCUUUGGAACCAAACAAAAUAGGUCUAAUUAUUGUAAAUUAUUUUAUUUGACUGAAUUGCCAAAGAGUAGAUAGGAACUAUUCUCAGACAAAAAAAAAAUCCACAACAAUGAAAGUCAAGCACUACAAAAGUAAAUUCACUCCAUCCCUGGCCAAGAACCUGUAGUACUUAUAUUUUAAAUUAUGGGAUUGACAUACAAAUCUUGUUCCCAGACACCAUCUUUUUAAUCAGUCUUUCACCUCUCUAAUCAGUUUUUUCAUUUCCUUUAUUCCUUGCCUUCACUAGGUAGCAGACCUGGAAACAACAUUGUGCUCUAGGGUUCUCCUUGUACAAGGCUCUGAAACCUUGGGCAACGCUUUCUAAGGUCCUGGUAGCAGUGUCAUUUAAACCCACAUGAAUCAUCAGAAGUAGGCCAUACUCAUCUGGAUUGACUAGUCUUCUUAGGAAGUUUUCUGACAUCCCAGUAUGACACCAGACCUCUCAUCAUCAAUAAAGAACUAACUCAGUUCCCCAACAAAGAGCCCGCAACCAGCAGUUCUUCCUCCCAUCCUUCCUCCCCAGAGCAUCCAGCUCCCUCUUCUGGAGAACAGUCAUCCUCUCACUCAUUCCUGACAUAAGUCAAGUUCUCCAUGUCUUAACUUUUACUCUCUUUUUUUUUUCCAGAUUGAAGUCCCUCUUAACAUUUUUUAAAGGAACACUCCAUUUUCCUCAAUCACCCAAAGGAAGUAUGGAGAGAAGGGCUGGCUACUCACUUUGAAGAACCAGCACAGCAGAGCAGAUAGAGCAUUCACAGCUCACAGCUCAUGUCAGGCAUUUAUUGCAUGACCCUGAACAUCACUUAAACUCUAUUUUCUCAACAACAAAAUGAGUGUAACAAUAUUGAGGCAUUUACAUCACAGGACCAUUGGGAGCAUCAGAUGAGAUAAUGUAUGUAAAAAGCUUGGAGGUCUUAAAGUACUCUCUAAAUAACAAUUAGUAGUAGUAGUAGCAUCCUCAGCAAUGCCUAUCAUGCAGUAGGUACCAAAUAAAUAUCUGAAGAAUUUAAAGAAUUCCAAAAGCAAAACACAAGUCUCUGAUGUAUUUUGUGUAUUAUCUAUAUUUAGAUCUGGUGAGGAUUUCAUGGUAUGGCACAAUGGAAAGGGCAUUGAUUCUAGAGCCAGAAGCCCUGGGUUUGAAUUCUCCCUAUUUGACAAGAGGCAUUUAACCUCCCUAUACCUCAGUUUCCUCAUCUGCAAAAAGAAAAAGUUGAACAAGGCAGAUUCUAAACUCAUUUCAGUUCAAAAACUAUUUGGUCCUAUGAUCCUGUGACAUUUUGCAGGGCUUUCAAAAUUUACCACAUAAACAUAUUAGCAUGUUAUUACUAAUAAGAAGGCUGUCUUUCGUCUGGAAAAGUGGAUUAAGGUAGUUUAACCCUUAGAAAGAUUUCCUCAAAAUUCUCUCCUCAUUUACAAUGAUUUGCAACAAGAACAGCCCUCUAUCUGUAGUAUGAUUGGAACUAGGUAUACUGGAGUGGAAGACUUAGGUUAGAAUCUUGGCUCUACUACUUAUCAUCAGUGUGCCCUUACCAAGACAUUGAGCCUCUUGGAAUGUCAGCUCCUGUAAAUGUAAAUGUAAAAUGGAUGAUUUCUACCUCUAAAGUCCAAUCAUUAUCAUUAUGCUUCUAGGCAUGGUCACAGCACAUGGAUAGAAUUGGCACUUACCAAUAAGAAGCAAUCGUUUAAUUAAAAAGUUUUUGCACAAACAAAACCAAUGCAACCAAGACUUGGAGGAAAGCUGAAAGCAAGGGAAAAAAUUCUGCAGCAAGUAUCUGAUAAAGGCCCAAUUUCUCAAAUACAUAGAGAACUGAGUUGAAUUUAUAAGAAUAGAAGACAUUCUCCAAUUGAUAAAAUGGUUAAAGAAUAUGAACAGGCAAUUUUCAGACAAAAAAAUCAAGGUUAUCUAUAGUCCUAUGAAUAAAUGCUCUAAAUCACUCUUGAUUAGAGAAAUGCAAAUUAGAACAAAAAUGUACCAAAUCAUACCUAUCAAAUUAGCUAUAUGACAGAAAAGGAAAAUGGCAAAUGUUAGGAUGUAGAAAUUAAUGCUCUCUUGGUGAAGUUGUGAACUGGUCAACUAUUCAGAAGAGCACUUUGGAAUUAUACCUGACAGGCUAUAAAACUGUGCAUAUUCUUUGAUCCAGCAGUACCACUACUAGUUUGUUUCUCAAAGAGAUUUUUUUAUUUAAGAGAAAAGGACCUAUGUGUAUAAAAAAUGUAGCAGCUCUUUUUGUAGUAGCAAAGAACUGGAAAUUGAGGGGCUAUUCAUCUAUUGAAGAAUUGAAGAAUGGCUAAACAAGUUGUGGCACAUGACUGUAAUGGAAUAUUAUUAUGCCAUAAGAAAUGACAAGAAGGUUGAUUUCAGAAAAACCUAGAAAGGUCUACAUGAACUGAUACAAAGUGAAGUAAGCAGAACCAGGAGAACAUUGUACAUGGUAAUAGCAAUACUGUAUGAAGAACAAUUGUAAAUGACUUAACUAUUCUUAGUAAUACAGUGACCCAAGAUGAUUCCCAACACCUAGCAAUGAGAAAUGCCUCCUGACUAAGAAUCGAUGGAGCCUGAAUACAGAUCAAAACAUACUAUAUUGCAUACUAUAUAAUAUGUUUCAGUUUUUUCUUCAUUUUUGUUUUGUUUUUUUGUUCAAAUCCUCUUCCACAAAAUGACUAAUAUGGGAAAAUGUUUUAUGUUAUUGCACAUGUAAAAUCUUUAUCAGAUUGCUCGCUGUCUUAGAGAGCGAGACACAGUGAAAAAGAGAAUUUGGCUCAAAUUUUUUUUAAAAGGUUAAAAAUUGUUUUUAGGUGAAAUUAAGAAAAAAUAAUUAAAAAAAAACAAUCAAUUAUUCAAUGCAGACGGCUAAUCUGCUUACUCAUUUCCUGCAGCUUCAUAUCCCAACAGGUUAUCAGUGGAUAGAAGACUGGGCUUGGAGUCCAGACAACUUGAGUUUAUAUGCAACCUCAGAUACUUCCUAGCUGUGUAAUACUUAGCAAGUUUUUUAACCUGUUUCCUCAACUAUAAAGUGGGAGAUAAUAAUCAAAGCACCUACUUCACAGAGUUGUUGUAAACAUCAAUAUUUAUAUAGUACUUAUACGUUUGUGGUACUAGUGAAACAUUCAGGUAGAAAUGUAGCUAGUUGGAAAAGUGGAUCUGGAGCUUAUAAGAGGUAAAGACUUAGAAAUAUAUAUUUGGGAGUUAUCUGCAAAGAAAUGGAGACUGGCUCCAUGGAAUUAAUUCAACAAUAAGAGAUUAAUGGAACAGACUAGACAAGGGAGAAUCAGAAAUAAUAGAAUUUAAUAAACAACCCAAUGUUUGUUUGAUACAGAGGAAAACAUAAAUUACCAAGGGAAAAAUCUCCUUAUUUAAUAAAAACUUCUAGGAAAACUGGAAAGCAAUCUGGCAUAAAAUUAGGCUUAGGCCACUACUUUGCACCAUAUUUUACAAUAUAUUCUGAAUGGACAUAUACACAUAACCUUAAUAUUAAAACUCAUAAUAUUAAAAAAUUUAAAAGAUCAUUAGUUUAUCAUGGCUAUGGAUAAAAGAUGUAUUCUUAACCUACCAAGGGAUAGAGGCAAAUAUAAAAGAUAAAAUAGAUAAUUGAUUAUAUAAAAUUGAAAAGCUUCUGCACAGACACAAGUAAUACACCUAAGAUAAGAAAGGAAGGAGUUAAACAGGGGAAAAUAUUUGCAUUAAAUUUCUCUGAUAAGGGCUUGGUAUCCAAGAUAAAUAAACAAUUAGUAAAUAUACAUGAUUAAUAGUCAUACUCCAAUAUAUCAGUCAAAGAAUCUGAACAAACAGUUCUGAAAAAGAACUGCAAAUUACUCACAAUCACAUGAAAGAAUGUUCCAGAUCACUAAUAAUUAGAGAAAUACAAAUCACAACAACCCUGAGGUUUUACUUCCCACCCUCCAAAUCAAGAAAGAUGAUAAAAAAUGGCAAUAGUCAAUGUUGUAAGAGUUGUGGAAGGAUAGACACCUUGAUACAUUUUAAUGAAACUAUGAAAUGGCACAACCAUAUUGGAAAGCAAUUUGUAAUUAUGCAAAUAAAAUUACUAAAAUCUCUAUACUCUUUGAAUCAGAUAUUCCAUUACUGAGCUUAUACCCCAAGGAAGCAGUAAGAAUAAGAAAGCACUCAUACACAACAAAAUAUUUAUAACAGCACUUUUUAUGAUAGCAAAAAUUUGGAAACAAAGCCCAUCAACUGGAGAAUGGCUACACAAAUCAAGGUACUUGAAUGUAAUGGAAAGAUUGCUGAACUGGAAGAAACGAUGAAUGUGAUGAAUACAAGGAAGCAUGGAAAUUUCUAUAUUAAUUAAUCCAGAGUGAAGUAGAAGCAAGAAACCAGUAUACAUGGAGAUUACUGCAAUGUAAAUGGAAAGAACAGCUACACAUCAAAAAGUCAAAAAUGAAUGUAAACAGAAUUGCAAAGAUCAAGCAUAACAUGAAGAGAUAAGAGAGGACAUUCCCAACCUACCCUUCUGUAGAUGUGGGAGGUCCAUAGGUAUUACACAUUACACAGAUUUUAGACUUUUUUGAAUGUACUAAUCCAUUAUGCUGAUUUUUUUCCUCUCUCAAAAAAAAAAAAUCCCAACUACUGUUUAUAUAAUAGGAUGGUUCCCUGGGAGGGGUUUGGGAAAUUUGGGAAAACAACAAUGAAGUAAGAAACAGAAAUUAUCAGUAAAAAACUUAUUUAAAAAUUCAACUAUCAAUGUGGCUACACAGUCAACAUUUUUUAAAAAUUCUUUGCCUUCAAGGAGCUUAAAUUCCACUGGGAGAGAAAGAGAAGAUUCUCUUGUUUUUGCUUAUUUUUAUCAUUGGUACUAAGCAUAGUACCUGGCAUAUAGUGUUUAUUAUGUGUAUUUUAUUAUUUAUUAUUAAUAUUAUUAUGUAUCAUAAUAACAUAAUACUUAUGUUUGUUUAUGUCCAUUUGUUAACUGCUAAAUGACUGAUGAGUAAUUAAUUUUGUUUUUAUUGGAUAUUUUACUUAUCACAUCAAGGGAUCAGUCUCGGUCAGGCUCAGCCCACUAUAUCACAGGGAGAGAAAUUAGCCUUUGUAAGGGACAGGGGAGGCAUUUUUUUCUCUGUAUCCAGAGGAAAAUAAAGCAGGUAAUCAUGCUGAGAAAUUCCAGAGAAUGGAGGGAGGAGAGCUGAGGUCAGAUCAGGUGGCCUCAGUCUUCUCAGUGAUGCAGGAGCUAAAGGCCAUCUUCUAGUUUUCUGGGAUGCCUGCGAUGUGGUUGGUAGUGAAGAAAGAAUAAAAGGUAUCCCACAGUUUGUGUGGGAAAUGGGAUAAGAAGCUGAUGAAGGUUAAGUAGAAAGAAUAUCUACUUACAGUGUGGACCCUGCUGGGGUAUAUACCAUAAAUAGUAUUAGUGAGUAAAUGUUUUUACUUCAGCUUCCUUAAGGUCCUUUUCAUUACUAAAAUUCUAUGUCUCUGUGUAUAGAAAAUAGGAAUUAGCAAGGAUUCGGUUUCUAUAUUUUAAUAAAGCCAAAGGUAGAAAACUAUUGCUAUGGUAUAACAAAUCUAAUAUAUUCUGUGAAUAGGAAAGAGAUUUCUUGAUAUUUCACUUGUUACUUAAGUAAUUUAUGAUUCUAUGGCUUAAACAACAUUCCUAUGUAAUAUUUUAUGAAAGAAAAGAUUUCCAAACCUGACAUCCACAGUGUCAUUGGAUUCAUGGUCAAAAACCUCAAAA